GACGAACGCUGGCGGCGUGCUUAACACAUGCAAGUCGAACGAAGUGGCGCACGGGUGAGUAACGCGUAAUCACCCUGCCCUUCAGAGGGGGACAACAGUUGGAAACGACUGCUAAUACCGCAUACUGAAGGAGGGGAUUUUUUCUGAUUAGCUGGUUGGGGGGGUCACGGCCCACCAAGGAGAUGUACAGUAGCCGGUCGGAGAGGAUGAACGGCCACAUUGGGACUGAGACACGGCCCAGACUCCGACGGGAGGCAGCAGUGGGGAAUCUGCCGCAAUGGACGAAAGUCUGACGGGGCAACGCCGCGUGAGUGAUGACGGCCUUCGGGUUGUAAAGCUCUGUUAAUCGGGACGCGGUACCGGAAUAGAAAGCCACGGCUAACUACGUGCCAGCAGCCGCGGUAAUAC
rnacentral:rRNA from 1 species